rnacentral:rRNA from 1 species
UACGCCCGAUCUCGUCCGAUCUCGGAAGCUAGCCAGGGUCGGGCUUGGUUAGUACUUGGAUGGGAAACUCCUGGGAAUACUAGGUGCUGUAGCUUUUGCUUACGGCCAUACCAGCCUG